AUUGAACGCUGGCGGCAUGCCUUACACAUGCAAGUCGAACGGCAGCACGGGGCAACCUGGUGGCGAGUGGCGAACGGGUGAGUAAUGCAUCGGAACGUACCUUUCAGUGGGGGAUAACGUAGCGAAAGUUACGCUCAUACCGCAUAUUCUGUGAGCAGGAAAGCAGGGGAUCGCAAGACCUUGCGCUGAUUGAGCGGCCGAAGUCAGAUUAGGUAGUUGGUGGGGUAAAGGCUCACCAAGGCGACGAUCUGUAGCGGGUCUGAGAGGAUGAUCCGCCACACUGGAAAUGAGACACGGUCCAGACUCCUACGGGAGGCAGCAGUGGGGAAUUUUGGACAAUGGGGGCAACCCUGAUCCAGCCAUGCCGCGUGAGUGAAGAAGGCCUUCGGGUUGUAUAGCUCUUUCGGCCGGGAAGAAAUCGCACGGGCUAAUACCCUGUGUGGAUGACGGUACCGGAAUAAGAAGCACCGGCUAACUACGUGCCAGCCGCCGCAGUAACAC
rnacentral:rRNA from 1 species